AUACAAAACACCUAAGGAUUUUGUGAAAAUGUAAAUAUUGAUAUCUGGGGUUAGGCCUGAGAUUUUGCAUUUCUGACAAGCUUCCAGUUAAUGCCACU
rnacentral:pre_miRNA from 1 species